UACGUAGGGUGCGAGCGUUGUCCGGAAUUAUUGGGCGUAAAGAGCUCGUAGGCGGUCUGUCGCGUCGAUCGUGAAAACUUGGGGCUUAACCCUGAGCUUGCGGUCGAUACGGGCAUGACUGGAGUUCGGCAGGGGAGACUGGAAUUCCUGGUGUAGCGGUGAAAUGCACAGAUAUCAGGAGGAACACCGGUGGCGAAGGCGGGUCUCUGGGCCGUAACUGACGCUGAGGAGCGAAAGCAUGGGGAGCGAACAGG
rnacentral:rRNA from 1 species